UACGAAGGGGGCUAGCGUUGCUCGGAAUCACUGGGCGUAAAGGGUGCGUAGGCGGGGCUUUAAGUCAGGGGUGAAAUCCUGGAGCUCAACUCCAGAACUGCCUUUGAUACUGAAGAUCUUGAGUUCGGGAGAGGUGAGUGGAACUGCGAGUGUAGAGGUGAAAUUCGUAGAUAUUCGCAAGAACACCAGUGGCGAAGGCGGCUCACUGGCCCGAUACUGACGCUGAGGCACGAAGGCGUGGGGAGCGAACGGG
rnacentral:rRNA from 1 species